GAUCAAUUUGGCAGCUUCAUGUACUAAAAUUGGAAUGAUACAGAGAAGAUUAGCAAGACCCCUGUGCAAGGAUGACAGGCCCAGUGUUCUAUCUGCUGCCCCACCUA
ensembl:snRNA U6 U6 spliceosomal RNA